UGAUUUAUCCAGCAAUAAGCUUACCGGUUCCAUACCUGAUACCUUGUGGAAUUUGUCAUCCCUCAGAGAAUUAGACCUUUCAAUGAAUCAACUGAACGGAGGCUUAUCAGAGCGCAUAAAAUCCUUGCGCAAUCUUACUUAUCUCUAUCUGGAUCAAAACUUCCUCAGCGGACAGAUACCAUCAUCUUUGGGUGCACUGAGUUCUCUGAAAAUAUUGUAAGUAAACUCUCUGCAACUUUUUGUUUUCACCAUUGCACUUAAUUCUUCGACUUUCUUGGACUUGAUAUGAUCAGUUGG